rnacentral:rRNA from 1 species
ACGGAAGGCAGCAGUGGGGAAUAUUGCACAAUGGGCGCAAGCCUGAUGCAGCCAUGCCGCGUGUAUGAAGAAGGCCUUCGGGUUGUAGAGUACUUUCAGCGGGGAGGAAGGGAGUAAAGUUAAUACCUUUGCUCAUUGACGUUACCCGCAGAAGAAGCACCGGCUAACUCCGUGCCAGCAGCCGCGGUAAUACGGAGGGUGCAAGCGUUAAUCGGAAUUACUGGGCGUAAAGCGCACGCAGGCGGUUUGUUAAGUCAGAUGUGAAAUCCCCGGGCUCAACCUGGGAACUGCAUCUGAUACUGGCAAGCGUGAGUCUCGUAGAGGGGGGUAGAAUUCCAGGUGUAGCGGUGAAAUGCGUAGAGAUCUGGAGGAAUACCGGUGGCGAAGGCGGCCCCCUGGACGAAGACUGACGCUCAGGUGCGAAAGCGUGGGGAGCAAACAGGAUUAGAUACCGUGGUA